ACCAGGAUGGCGGGCGCGGUUAAGGCGUUGGACCCAAGAUCCAAUGGACAAAAGUCCUCGUGGGUUCAAACCCCACUCCUGGUA